rnacentral:tRNA from 1 species
GAGGAUGGACGACAACAGUAAAGAUUGCUAAUCCUUCACUCCCUCGGUUUGACUCCGAGGCUUCCUCGA